GAUUAACGCUGGCGGCGUGCCUAACACAUGCAAGUCGAGCGGCAGCGAGUUUUACACUGAAUUCUGGAAGCUUCUAGUUGAAAGAGAAGAUUUAUUCAAGAAUUUUGUGUAAAAUGUCGGCGAGCGGCGGACGGCUGAGUAACGCGUGGGAACGUACCCCAAAGUGAGGGAUAACGCAUCGAAAGGUGUGCUAAUACCGCAUAUGGUCUUCGGAUUAAAGCCUUCGGGCGCUUUGGGAACGGCCUGCGUAAGAUUAGAUAGUUGGUGGGGUAAUGGCCUACCAAGUCGACGAUCUUUAACUGGUUUGAGAGGAUGAGCAGUCAGACUGGAACUGAGACACGGUCCAGACUCCUACGGGAAGCAGCAGUGAGGAAUCUUCCACAAUGGGCGAAAGCCUGAUGGAGCAACGCCGCGUGCAGGAUGAAGGCCUUCGGGUUGUAAACUGCUUUUAUAAGUGAGGAUUAUGACAGUAACUUAUGAAUAAGGAUCGGCUAACUACGUG
rnacentral:rRNA from 1 species